rnacentral:lncRNA from 1 species
CUUCGCUGAGGAGAAAUUCUUCUGUUUCCGAGCGAGGAGUGGUGUUGUCUUCCUUGGUUCCCCUCUUUGGACACAGCUUCACUCGGGAUGCGUGAAUCCAGAUGUCGUGGGAAUCUGUGAGGACAGCGGUUCUUGGUACAGCAAUCACAGUAGCAGGUGGUCCAAAAGGGUAUCCUCCUUUCUUGGUCCUGUUCAACUGACGGAUAUACACCUUGUCACCGGGCUGGUAUGAAUGAGUAGGUUCCUGUGAAGGUAAGGGAAAACUGCGAAGAAACAUUGUCAUACAUACCAUUCGGUUUUAUCAACAAUUCCUGUACAUAUUGUUCUUGUAUAAGCUGUAAAUCCCCAGACAUUAUAACAAGCGGUUGCCUGGCCCAGGGUGUGGGAAAAGGUCAUCCCAUCAAAAAUCUCAAAUGGAGAUAAUUUAGUCACCUUGUGAGGAAUCACUCUUAUCUCAGCUAAAAUAGCUGGUAGAUAUCUAGUCCAAUUUACCCAUGUUCCUGGGUAAAUUCUGGGCUUUUCCUUAAUAGUCCUAUUCAUCCUUUCAACUACCCCUGUAUUCUGUGGAUGAUAGGGUAUAUGAAACUGCCAGGUAACUUGCAAGAAUUUAGCAAGUUCCUGGGCAACCUUAUUUGCAAAAACCGGGCCAUUAUCAGAGCCAAUCUGCAGAGGGCAGCCAUACCUGGGAAUAAUUUCAGUAACAAUAAUCUUCACUAGAAUCUUCCCUAGAUAUCACAAAGGCCUCAUGCCAUCUACUAAACUGAUCAACUAUGACCAGUAAGUAUUGCUGUUUCUUACCAAUUUUGGAUACAUGAAUAAAAUCAAUCUGUAAGUGUGUAAAAAGAGCAGCGUUCACACGAUCUUACAAAAGACUGUACAUGCUGCCUGAGAUUCCUAAUAUAAAAUGAAUUCAUGAGGAAUUGAAUGGUGCUUGCUAUGUGCCUGACUGAUGAAAAUAAAGCAGCUUGCUUCAAGUAUGCCUAUUCUUCAAGUAUGCCUAUUCUCCCCUCUUUAGAGAACAGAUCAUUCUGAUCUUUCUCUAAACCUUAUUUAAUCCAAAAACAGAUUCUGGGUAUUAAAAAAAGAAUCUCAUAACCACUGAAGCGCUGGGCUGUCAUGUGUUGUGUGGUGAGAUUUGUCAUCAGCUGAGUGACCUGGUGACUGGCAUGAAGUAUUGUAGGAUGCCCUAGUGUGAUAGUAGUAGCAGUUUCAACAGCCAUUGCACAUGCUAUCAAUGCUCUGAGACACGCCGGCAUACCCUGUACCGGAGCUUGAACUACUUUGGAAAAGAAUGCUAUGGGACGCAUACCGCCUCCUUGCUCUUGUGCACAGACCGCGGCCAUGGUUUUACAAUUGUCCCAAGCAUACAAAUGAAAUGGUUUACAAUACACAGGUAGUCCUAAAGCCUGGGCUUGCACAAUAACAACUGUAAGGGCAAUAUAUGCAGCUAGCAUGUCUGGUGACCAGCAGACAUUUUCAGGGUUGUCAGAACGUACAGCCUCCCUUAGGAUUGAGUCAUAAUGGGAGCAUUCAGGGAUCCAUUGGUGGCAGUAAUUAAUCAUGCCGAGGAAGGUGAGCAACUCCUUCCGAGUAGUGGGUGUAGGAAUCCUCUGAAUGACCUCAAUACAUUUUGGACUCAAUUGUCUGGUGCCUAAAGCCAGAACAAAACCUAAGUAUUCAACCUUUGAUUUACACAAUUGCAUUUUGUGUUUAACAACCUUGUGACCCACAGUUGCUGACAGUAUCCACAGUGCUUGCCUCAUAGCUAGGGCUACAUAACAACAAAUCAUCAACAUUUUGCAAAAAGGACGGAACCAUGACCGGUGGUCCAUGUUUUUUAGAGUAUGUUAGAGUACCAACGAAUAAACAGCUGGGGAAUCCACAUAGCCUUGGGUAAGCGUGUCCAGGUAAACUGACAGCCUUCAAAAAGUAAAAACCAUAAGUAGCUGUGUCUCUUGAUCAAUAGGUAUAGAAAAAAUGCAUUACUUAAAUCAAUGACAGUGAAGCAAGUGGCAUCAUGUGGAAUGGCUGUAAUGAGGGAUGUCACGUCAGGGACAAUGGGUGAAAUGGGCACAAUUAAACUAUUCAGGGCUCUAAAGUCCUGAACUAAGCGAUAUGCUGGCCAGUGGUGUUGGGAGUGGGUCUGGUGUUGUUCUUGCCUACCGGGCAUAUUUUGAGAAAGGUGGGGUUGUUGGGGUGUGUGGGGUUUCCUGGGGUUUCCUGGGAUGUGGACACUCAUUCCUCCAGUGGCCAUAUUGUCCACAGUUGAAACAAGUGUUCCUGUCUAUUCCUCCUUGGUUACCCCUGCCCCUAUAAC